CGUACACUCCUGCGGGAGGCAGCAGUGGGGAAUAUUGGACAAUGGGCGCAAGCCUGAUCCAGCCAUGCCGCGUGAGUGAUGAAGGCCCUAGGGUUGUAAAGCUCUUUCACCGGUGAAGAUAAUGACGGUAACCGGAGAAGAAGCCCCGGCUAACUUAGUGCCAGCAGCCGCGGUAAUACGAAGGGGGCUAGCGUUGUUCGGAUUUACUGGGCGUAAAGCGCACGUAGGCGGACUAUUAAGUCAGGGGUGAAAUCCCGGGGCUCAACCCCGGAACUGCCUUUGAUACUGGUAGUCUUGAGUUCGAGAGAGGUGAGUGGAAUUCCGAGUGUAGAGGUGAAAUUCGUAGAUAUUCGGAGGAACACCAGUGGCGAAGGCGGCUCACUGGCUCGAUACUGACGCUGAGGUGCGAAAGCGUGGGGAGCAAACAGGAUUAGAUACCCCGGUAGUCCCAUGAU
rnacentral:rRNA from 1 species